rnacentral:lncRNA from 1 species
UCGGUUCGUUGGAUUAACCCAUUGGGUCACUUAAUAUCUAUUACUUUGACUUGUAAUGAUGAUAUAGUAUGACAGUUGACCAAGAUAUCUGCCAUGCAUUAAUGUGGAUGGGAUUAUAGUCGGCCGGCGGUGUGAACAGUGGCCAAAAGCAGUGGAUAAGUUCCAUGCAGUCGGCAAAAUCCAUCAGAUCAGGGGGAUAUGUCAGAUGGUAGUGGGUGACACAGUAAUCCAGGCAAAGAUAUUAUUUCUUGGCGAGUAAGUCUUCACAAGGAGGUACAUUUUUGAUAUAUAUACAUUCACACAACUGAUAAUAAAGAAUCUAUCUCAUUACACUAGAUUUUAUCAUCCUCUUGAGUUAACCUUGUGAACAGACAUACUUACUCUUACGCCUGAGCUAUCCCCCGGCGGUCCGGCCGUCAAGCUUGUGGUGUUUGUUGUAUUUACUGUGCAGGAUCAGGACGUCUUUAGUGAUUGGGACGUGGAGAAAGAUCUUGGCGUUAACACUUGUGAUUUUACCCUUUGUUAUAAUCUUUGCUUUUUUGUCAUGUAGAACAACAUGCUCCUGGAAGUUAUGAAAAAGCAAGGCUUUGGUUUGCUCAUGCGGAGACUCUACUUCCCUUCUCAUGUUUGAUUGGCCUUUUUCUUGAUGGAUCUGGUCAGUGUCUUUAAUUU